rnacentral:rRNA from 1 species
UACGUAGGGUGCAAGCGUUAAUCGGAAUUACUGGGCGUAAAGCGUGCGCAGGCGGCUUUGCAAGACAGAUGUGAAAUCCCCGGGCUCAACCUGGGAACUGCAUUUGUGACUGCAUAGCUAGAGUGCGGCAGAGGGAGAUGGAAUUCCGCGUGUAGCAGUGAAAUGCGUAGAUAUGCGGAGGAACACCGAUGGCGAAGGCAAUCUCCUGGGCCUGCACUGACGCUCAUGCACGAAAGCGUGGGGAGCAAACAGG